UGCAGUCGAGGGGCAGCACGAAUAGCAAUAUUUGGUGGCGACCGGCGCACGGGUGCGUAACACGUAUACAAUCUACCUAAAACAGGGGGAUAGCCUUUCGAAAGAGAGAUUAAUACCCCGUAACAAAUUGAAUGGCAUCAUUUGAUUUUGAAAGCUCCGGCGGUUUUAGAUGAGUAUGCGUCUGAUUAGCUAGUUGGUGAGGUAACGGCUCACCAAGGCGACGAUCAGUAGGGGAUCUGAGAGGACUAACCCCCACACUGGUACUGAGACACGGACCAGACUCCUACGGGAGGCAGCAGUAAGGAAUAUUGGUCAAUGGAGGCAACUCUGAACCAGCCAUGCCGCGUGCAGGAAGAAGGCCCUAUGGGUCGUAAACUGCUUUUGUACCAGAGAAAACCACAGUACGUGUACUGUGUUGAUAGUAUGGUAAGAAUAAGCAUCGGCUAACUUCGUGCCAGCAGCCGCGGUAAGACGAAGGAUGCAAGCGUUAUCCGGAUUCAUUGGGUUUAAAGGGUGCGUAGGCGGACUGAUAAGUCAGUGGUGAAAUCUCUCGGCUUAACCGAGAAACUGCCAUUGAUACUGUUAGCCUAGAGUAUAGAUGACGUUGGCGGAAUAUGACAUGUAGUGGUGAAAUACUUAGAUAUGCCAUAGAACACCGAUUGCGAAGGCAGCUAACGAAACUAUAACUGACGCUGAGGCACGAAAGUGCGGGGAUCAAACAGGAUUAGAUACCCUGGUAGUCCGCACCGUAAACGAUGAUUACUCGUUGUUGGCAAUAUGACCGUCAGCGACCAAGCGAAAGCGAUAAGUAAUCCACCUGGGGAGUACGCCGGCAACGGUGAAACUCAAGGAAUUGACGGGGGCCCGCACAAGCGGAGGAGCAUGUGNUUUAAUUCGAUGAUACGCGAGGAACNUUACCUGGGCUUGA
rnacentral:rRNA from 1 species